rnacentral:rRNA from 1 species
CGGACGGGUGAGUAAUGUAUGGGGAUCUGCCUGAUGGCGGGGGAUAACUACUGGAAACGGUAGCUAAUACCGCAUAACGUCGCAAGACCAAAGAGGGGACCUUAGGGCCUCUUGCCAUCGGAUGUGCCCAGAUGGGAUUAGCUAGUAGGUGGGGUAACGGCUCACCUAGGCGACGAUCCCUAGCUGGUCUGAGAGGAUGACCAGCCACACUGGAACUGAGACACGGUCCAG